rnacentral:rRNA from 1 species
UACGGGGGGGGUAAGCGUUGUUCGGAAUUACUGGGCGUAAAGGGCUCGUAGGCGGCCAACUAAGUCAUACGUGAAAUCCCUCAGCUUAACUGGGGAACUGCGUGUGAUACUGGAUGGCUUGGAUUUGGGAGAGGGAUGCGGAAUUCCAGGUGUAGCGGUGAAAUGCGUAGAUAUCGGGAGGAACACCAGUGGCGAAGGCGGCAUCCUGGACCGGUAUUGACACUGAAAAGCGAAAGCCAGGGGAGCAAACGGG